UACGGAGGAUGCGAGCGUUAUCCGGAUUUAUUGGGUUUAAAGGGUGCGUAGGCGGAAUAUCAAGUCAGCGGUAAAAAUUCGGGGCUCAACCCCGUCGUGCCGUUGAAACUGGGGGGCUUGAGUAUGUUUGAGGCAGGCGGAAUGCGUGGUGUAGCGGUGAAAUGCAUAGAUAUCACGCAGAACCCCGAUUGCGAAGGCAGCAUACCGGCGCCCAACUGACGCUGAGGCUCGAAAGCGUGGGGAGCAAACAGG
rnacentral:rRNA from 1 species